AGGGUAAUAACUCAGUGGUAGAGUGCUUGCAAAGCAUGCAUGAAGUCCUGGGUUCAAUCCCCAGUACCUCCA
rnacentral:tRNA from 1 species